AGCUUUCUUUGCUUGACUACAAGCCACAAUUGAUUAAAACUCCCAAUCAAUUGCACCACCAACUCAACCCACUCCCAGCCAUACAAAAGUUGGCGGUGCAAGACAAUUUGAUUGUGGACAACAAGAAUAGUGUUCUAAGCCAGACCUUCGUUGAAUUUUCAUUACGAAUGCCUUGGACUUUUAAAUGCAACCGGGCGUAUGUAAAUAUUGGCAUUAGUGACAUGUGCAAAUGUUUGUAUGGCUGAUUCCCUGAGACCCUAACUUGUGACUUUUAAUACCAGUUUCACAAGUUUUGAUCUCCGGUAUUGGACGCAAACUUGCUGAUGUUAGUAAAAAAAAACGAAGGCAAAUCCAAAAGCUGACCGAGGGCGUAUUAUCGGAAGAAUUGCAAAUUUUUUUCAGAAGACAUAUGCAGUUCGGCUGGUUGUGGAAUCCCGGAGAAUAGCUUUCGGAUUCGACUGAACGAAGUUCCAGAAAAGAUCAUCUUGUACGUUGACAGCGCGAGCUUUACUUUAUUUCAGAAACUACACUAGAAUAUAAGUUAUUAAAACGUAAAAAGGCAAAUUCUUGAGUUCCAUGAAUGUUUUUAUUUUUACUCCAAUCUAGUACAAAAGAAAUAUACAAAUUUAAUUUAAUUUUUAAUUAACCCAUACUUAAUAAUAUUUUCGGUUAUUAUGCUCGUUACUCCUAGACCAAAAAGGUAUCUUUUAUUCGUCGGAAAGUAUGUAAUGUAUGUAUAUAGAUUCUUAAUUAGAAUCACUAGCCGAUUUGAAAAUUUGAACAUGUCCGUAGGUCUGUCCGUAUGAACACUGAGAUCUCAAAAUCCCAUAAACUAUAAACGCUAGAUAGUUGGCACUGAGCAAACAGAUUCUAUGGACUCGUAAGCAACGCAAGUUUGUUUCAUUGGGAUGUCACGCAAACUCUAACUUUGUCUGGCGCCCACAUUAUUAAAGAUUUUCUUUCAGUGUAAAUUGAAAUUGUUUUUAUUGAUCAAUACCUAUCUAAAUGCUGAAAAUUGUACCAAUCGCAUUGUUAUUUUAAAAGUUGGCAUGAUCAGUAGUACCGCUGCCGUCCGCUAUGUGCCGUGGCGCUGGCAUCGAUGUUUUUUCCGGCGCGCCAAUAGAAUUUUCCUGAAAUUUUAUUUUAUUUGAAAUUUAAAACAGAGUAAUGGGUAUCUGAUAGUUGAGGCACUCGAUUAUAUCGUUUCCUUUUGUUUUUAUUUUAUAUUUCCAAGUCGUUUUAUAAAUUAGUUAGUUUAUUUUCUUGCUUUAAAUAUAUUAAUUUCCUUUUAGUUUAUUUAGUAUUGUGAUUUUGUAAUUAUAUUGUUUAGCUUUAACCCUAUUCCCAGUCAAUGAAUUCCAUUUUAAAUAUUUAUCUAUAAAAAAUCUUUAUUGUAAACCCAAUGAUGUCGUCUACUAAAACCAUCACUGAAACCACACAGUAAUGUACAUGAUUUUGAUGUAUUUAAACUAUAAGCUACCUCUAAGAUCUAAAGAUACAAUGUGAGAAAGAUUUGAAUAAAUCGAUACAAGUUAUGAUUUUGAUCUGAACAAUUUCAUUGUCAAGAGAGUACAAAACAUA